rnacentral:rRNA from 1 species
UACGUAGGGCGCAAGCGUUGUCCGGAAUUAUUGGGCGUAAAGAGCUCGUAGGCGGUUUGUCGCGUCUGCUGUGAAAACCCGAGGCUCAACCUCGGGCCUGCAGUGGGUACGGGCAGACUAGAGUGUGGUAGGGGAGACUGGAAUUCCUGGUGUAGCGGUGGAAUGCGCAGAUAUCAGGAGGAACACCAAUGGCGAAGGCGAGUCUCUGGACAGCAACGUGAC